rnacentral:misc_RNA from 1 species
GAUGAAGAACGUAGCGAAAUGCGAUACUUGGUGUGAAUUGCAAAAUCCCGUGAACCAUCGAGUCUUUGAACGCAAGUUGCGCCCGAAGCCAUUAGGCCGAGGGCACGCCUGCCUGGGCGUCACACGUCGUUGCCCCCCCAUCUACUCCUUCGGGAUUGCGGGGGGCGGAUGAUGGCCUCUCGUGCGCCUCGUCGCGCGGUUGGCCUAAAUGCCAAGUCCUCGGCGACGCACGCCACGACAAUCGGUGGUUGCGAAACCUCGGUUGCCUGUCGUGUGCGGUCGUCGCGCAUCGAGGGCUCGAAAAAAUUGCCGGGCUUCGGCUCGACUUUCAACGCGACCCCAGGUCAGGCGGGGUUACCCGCUGAAUUUAAGCAUAUCAAUAAGCGGAGGA